ACGUGAUACUUUAUUGGAUCUUCUUAAAAGUGCCUCAACAAUGGGCUCUGAAUUUGAUCUAAUCAAAUUCGAUUCUAUAUUUCACAUAUUUGUGUUGGUUCUUCUAUCUGUCAAACUUUCUCAAGUUCAUCCAUAGUGGCAUCAAUUCCUUACCUAAGUAAAUCUUUUUCUAAAAAGAAUGCCCUGAGGUUGAUGAAUAUCUUUUAUUCUUCAGCAAGGUAGAAGUAGUAUGCCCUAAACUCCUUAGGAUACCCUAUAAUUGAGCACUUAUUGG
rnacentral:lncRNA from 1 species